rnacentral:rRNA from 1 species
ACGGAAGAGGUGUCAGGCUGGCAAAUCCGCCUGGCAAGCCAAAGACGUGAUGUGGAGCGAAAUAAAAGUAGCGAAGUGUGUGAGCCAUGUGCCGAGAAAAGCCGCUAUUGUUUUAUAUGUGCCCGUACCGUAAACCGACACAGGUGGAUGAGGAGAGAAUCCUAAGGCCGACGGAAGAAGCAUUGUUAAGGAACUCGGCAAAAUGACCCCGUAACUUCGGGAGAAGGGGUGCCCACUUCAGGGUGGGCCGCAGAGAAUAGGCUCAAGCAACUGUUUAGCAAAAACACAGGUCUAUGCGAAACCGUAAGGUGAAGUAUAUGGGCUGACGCCUGCCCGGUGCUGGAAGGUUAAGAGGAGAGGUUAGUCGCAAGAUGAAGCUUUGAAUUUAAGCCCCAGUAAACGGCGGCCGUAACAAUAACGGUCCUAAGGUAGCGAAAUUCCUUGUCGGGUAAGUUCCGACCCGCACGAAAGGCGUAAUGAUUUGAGCACUGUCUCGACAAUGCAUCCGGUGAAAUUGAAGUACCAGUGAAGAUGCUGGUUACCCGCGCCAGGACGGAAAGACCCCAUGGAGCUUUACUCCAGUUUGGUACUGGGAUUCGGUACUGCAUGUACAGGAUAGGUGGGAGACUGAGAAAUUGGAACGCCAGUUUCAAUGGAGUCACUGUUGGGAUACCACCCCUGCAGUAUUGGGUUUCUAACCAGCCGCUGUGAUCCAGCGGUGGGACAAUGCCAGGCGGGGAGUUUGACUGGGGCGGUCGCCUCCGAAAGGGUAUCGGAGGCGCUCAAAGGUUCCCUCAGAAUGGUCGGAAACCAUUUUAAGAGUGCAAAGGCAGAAGGGAGCUUGACUGCGACACCGACUGGUGGAGCAGGUACGAAAGUAGGACUUAGUGAUCCGGUGGCAUAAAGUGGGAUUGCCAUCGCUCAACGGAUAAAAGCUACCCUGGGAUAACAGGCUUAUCACUCCCAAGAGUUCACAUCGACGGAGUGGUUUGGCACCUCGAUGUCGGCUCAUCGCAUCCUGGGGCUGUAGCAGGUCCCAAGGGUUGGGCUGUUCGCCCAUUAAAGCGGUACGCGAGCUGGGUUCAGAACGUCGUGAGACAGUUCGGUCCCUAUCCGGCGUGGGCGGAGGAUAUUUGAGAGGAGCUGUCCUUAGUACGAGAGGACCGGGAUGGACGGACCACUGGUGUAUCUGCUGUCGACCAACGGCAUGGCAGAGUAGCCAAGUCCGGAAGGGAUAAACGCUGAAGGCAUCUAAGCGUGAAGCCCCCCUCAAGAUGAGAUAUCCCUCACAUAAGUGAGUAAGAUCCCUUGAAGAGUACAAGGUAGAUAGGGCAGAGGUGGAAGCACGGUAACGUGUGGAGCUGACUGUUACUAAUCGAUCGAGGGCUUGACC